AGUCGAGGGGCAGCACAGGUAGCAAUACCGGGUGGCGACCGGCGCACGGGUGAGUAACGCGUAUGCAACUUACCUAUCAGAGGGGGAUAACCCGGCGAAAGUCGGACUAAUACCGCAUGAAGCAGGGGCCCCGCAUGGGGAUAUUUGCUAAAGAUUCAUCGCUGAUAGAUAGGCAUGCGUUCCAUUAGGCAGUUGGCGGGGUAACGGCCCACCAAACCGACGAUGGAUAGGGGUUCUGAGAGGAAGGUCCCCCACAUUGGUACUGAGACACGGACCAAACUCCUACGGGAGGCAGCAGUGAGGAAUAUUGGUCAAUGGGCGUAAGCCUGAACCAGCCAAGUCGCGUGAGGGAUGAAGGUUCUAUGGAUCGUAAACCUCUUUUAUAAGGGAAUAAAGUGCGGGACGUGUCCCGUUUUGUAUGUACCUUAUGAAUAAGGAUCGGCUAACUCCGUGCCAGCAGCCGCGGUAAUACGGAGGAUCCGAGCGUUAUCCGGAUUUAUUGGGUUUAAAGGGUGCGUAGGCGGCCUUUUAAGUCAGCGGUGAAAGUCUGUGGCUCAACCAUAGAAUUGCCGUUGAAACUGGGGGGCUUGAGUAUGUUUGAGGCAGGCGGAAUGCGUGGUGUAGCGGUGAAAUGCUUAGAUAUCACGCAGAACCCCGAUUGCGAAGGCAGCCUGCCAAGCCAUGACUGACGCUGAUGCACGAAAGCGUGGGGAUCAAACAGGAUUAGAUACCCUGGUAGUCCACGCAGUAAACGAUGAUCACUAGCUGUUUGCGAUACAGUGUAAGCGGCACAGCGAAAGCGUUAAGUGAUCCACCUGGGGAGUACGCCGGCAACGGUGAAACUCAA
rnacentral:rRNA from 1 species